rnacentral:rRNA from 1 species
AGAACGAACGCUGGCGGCAGGCUUAACACAUGCAAGUCGAACGGUUGUAGCAAUACAGCAGUGGCAGACGGGUGAGUAACACGUGGGAACCUUCCUAGGGGUACGGAACAACUCAGGGAAACUUGAGCUAAUACCGUAUACGUCCGUGAGGAGAAAGAUUUAUCGCCCCUAGACGGGCCCGCGUAGGAUUAGGUAGUUGGUGAGGUAACGGCUCACCAAGCCUACGAUCCUUAGCUGAUCUGAGAGGAUGAUCAGCCACACUGGGACUGAGACACGGCCCAGACUCCUACGGGAGGCAGCAGUGGGGAAUCUUGGACAAUGGGGCGCAAGCCUGACUCCAGCCAUCGCCACGGUUCGAGGUAG